rnacentral:rRNA from 1 species
CCUACGGGUGGCUGCAGUGGGGAAUAUUGGACAAUGGGGGGAACCCUGAUCCAGCCAUGCCGCGUGUGUGAAGAAGGCCCUCGGGUUGUAAAGCACUUUCAGUGAGGAAGAACGCCUGGUGGUUAAUACCCAUCAGGAAAGACAUCACUCACAGAAGAAGCACCGGCUAACUCCGUGCCAGCAGCCGCGGUAAUACGGAGGGUGCGAGCGUUAAUCGGAAUUACUGGGCGUAAAGCGCGCGUAGGUGGCUUGAUAAGCCGGUUGUGAAAGCCCCGGGCUCAACCUGGGAACGGCAUCCGGAACUGUCAAGCUAGAGUGCAGGAGAGGAAGGUAGAAUUCCCGGUGUAGCGGUGAAAUGCGUAGGGAUCGGGAGGAAUACCAGUGGCGAAGGCGGCCUUCUGGACUGACACUGACACUGAGGUGCGAAAGCGUGGGUAGCAAACAGGAUAAGAUACCCGAGUAGUC